UACAGAGGUCUCAAGCGUUGUUCGGAUUCAUUGGGUUUAAAGGGUGCGUAGGCGGCUCAUCAAGUGUUUUGUGAAAUCCCAUGGCUCAACCAUGGAACAGCAGGGCAAACUGAUGAGCUUGAGGCAGGUAGGGGCUGGAAGAACAGUUGGUGGAGCGGUGAAAUGCGUAGAUAUCAACUGGAAUGCCGAUGGGGAAGCCGUCCAGCUGGGCCUGUCCUGACGCUGAGGCACGAAAGCGUGGGGAGCAAACAGG
rnacentral:rRNA from 1 species